AGUUGGUGGAGUGAUUUGUCUGCUUAAUUGCGAUAACGAACGAGACCUCUACUUACUAAAUAGCAGCGGGGAGUAUGCUCCUUGCAGGCUUCUUAGCGGAACUUCGUAUGUCUAAUACGAGGAAGUUGGAGGCAAUAACAGG
rnacentral:rRNA from 1 species